AUACGGAGGCUCCGAGCGUUAUCCGGAUUUAUUGGGUUUAAAGGGUGCGCAGGCGGGAGAUUAAGUCGGCGGUGGAAUUUUGCAGCUCAAAUGUAAAAGUGCCUUCGAAACUGGGUUUCUUGUGUGUUGGUGUAGUAGGCGGAAUUUUUGGGUUACGGGUGAAAUGCAUAGAUAUCACGAGGAACUCCGAUUGCGCAGGCAGCUUACUAAACUACUACUGACGCUCAGGCACGAAGGCGUGGGGAUCAAACAGGAUUAGAUACCCUGGUAGUCCACGCAGUAAACGAUGAUUACUAGCUGUUUGCGAUACAAUGUAAGCGGCUGAGCGAAAGCGUUAAGUAAUCCACCUGGGGAGUACGUUCGCAAGAAUGAAACUCAAAGGAAUCGACGGGG
rnacentral:rRNA from 1 species